ACACCGUUGGUGAAGUGGUUAUCAUGCUUGCCUUCCAUUUCAUUUCAUCGUUGAUUUCAGUCAGCAAGCGGCUCGGGUUCGAUUCCCGAACGGUGUA